rnacentral:rRNA from 1 species
UACGUAGGGGGCUAGCGUUGUCCGGAUUUAUUGGGCGUAAAGAGCGUGUAGGCGGCUAGGUAGGUCCGUUGUGAAAACUCGAGGCUCAACCUCGAGACGUCGAUGGAAACCAUCUAGCUAGAGUCCGGAAGAGGAGAGUGGAAUUCCUGGUGUAGCGGUGAAAUGCGCAGAUAUCAGGAAGAACACCCGUGGCGAAGGCGGCUCUCUGGUACGUGACUGACGCUGAGACGCGAAAGCGUGGGGAGCAAACAGG